rnacentral:rRNA from 1 species
CCUACGGGAGGCUGCAGUGGGGAAUAUUGGACAAUGGGGGAAACCCUGAUGCAGCGACGCCGCGUGAGUGAAGAAGUACUUCGGUAUGUAAAGCUUUAUCAGCAGGGAAGAAAAUGACGGUACCUGAGUAAGAAGCACCGGCUAACUACGUGACAGCAGCGGGGGUAAUACGUAGGGGGCCAGCGUUAUCCGGAUUUACUGGGGGUAAAGGGAGCGUAGACGGCAGCGCAAGUCUGAAGUGAAAUGCCGGGGCUUAACCCCGGAACUGCUUUUGAAACUGUGCAGCUAGAGUGCAGGAGAGGUAAGUGGAAUUCCUGGUGUAGCGGUGAAAUGCGUAGAUAUUAGGAAGAACACCAGUUGCGAAGGCAGCUUACUGGACUGUAACUGACACUGAGGCUCGAAAGUGUGGGUAUCAAACAGGAUUAGAUACCCUUGUAGUC